AUCCAGUUGACGAGUCCCAAAUAGGACGGAACGCGCCUCCUGUAU
rfam:Schistosoma mattheei strain Denwood, Zambia genome assembly, scaffold: SMTD_scaffold0002582